rnacentral:rRNA from 1 species
CCUACGGGAGACAGCAGUGGGGAAUAUUGCACAAUGGGGGAAACCCUGAUGCAGCAACGCCGCGUGGAGGAAGAAGGUUUUCGGAUCGUAAAGCCCUUUCGUCAGAGAAGAUAAUGACGGUAUCUCACGAAUAAGCACCGGCUAACUACGUGCCAGCAGCCGCGGUAAUACGUAGGGUGCAAGCGUUAGCCGGAUUUACUGGGCGUAAAGAGUGCGCAGGCGGGGAUGUAAGACAGAAGUGAAAUCCCGUGGCUUAACCACAGGACUGCUUUUGAAACUGUGUGGCUGGAGUGCAGGAGGGGUAGGUGGAAUUCUUGGUGUAGGGGUGAAAUGCGUAGAUAUCAGGAGGAAUACUCGUGGCGAAGGCGGCCUACUGGAACGUAACUGACGUUGAGGCACGAAAGCGUGGGGAGCAAACAGGAUUAGAUACCCGGGUAGUC